GACGAACGCUGGCGGCGUGCUUAACACAUGCAAGUCGAACGGAAAGGCCCUGCUUUUGUGGGGUGCUCGAGUGGCGAACGGGUGAGUAACACGUGAGUAACCUGCCCUUGACUUUGGGAUAACUUCAGGAAACUGGGGCUAAUACCGGAUAGGAGCUCCUGCUGCAUGGUGGGGGUUGGAAAGUUUCGGCGGUUGGGGAUGGACUCGCGGCUUAUCAGCUUGUUGGUGGGGUAGUGGCUUACCAAGGCUUUGACGGGUAGCCGGCCUGAGAGGGCGACCGGCGACAUUGGGACUGAGAUACGGCCCAGACUCCUACGGGAGGCAGCAGUGGGGAAUAUUGCACAAUGGGCGGAAGCCUGAUGCAGCAACGCCGCGUGCGGGAUGACGGCCUUCGGGUUGUAAACCGCUUUCGCCUGUGACGAAGCGUGAGUGGCGGUAAUGGGUAAAGAAGCACCGGCUAACUACGUG
rnacentral:rRNA from 1 species